GACGAACGCUGGCGGCGUGCUUAACACAUGCAAGUCGAACGGAAAGGCCCUGCUUUUGUGGGUUGCUCGAGUGGCGACCGGGUGAGUAACACGUGAGUAACCUGCCCUUGACUUUGUGAUAACUUCAGGAAACUCGGGCGAAUACCGGAUAUGAGCUCUUGCUGCACGGGGGUGGUUGGAAAAUUUCGGCGGUUGGGGCUGGUCCCGCGGCUUAUCAGCUGGUUUGUGUGGUAGUGGCUUUCCAGGGAUUCGACGGGAAGCCCGCCUGAGAGGGUGACCGGCCACCGUGGGACUGCGAGACGGAACAGACUCGUACGGGAGGCAGCAGUGGGGAAUAUUGCACAAUGGGCGGAAGCCUGAUGCAGAGACGCCGCGUGCGGGAUGACGGCCUUCGGGUUGUAAACCGAUUUCGCCUGUGAUGAAGCGUGAGUGACGGUACUGGGUCAAGAAGCACCGGCUAACUACGUG
rnacentral:rRNA from 1 species